rnacentral:snoRNA from 15 species
CAGAAUGAAGAAAUGAAUACUGUAUGAUUUGAAUUCAAGAAAAGUGUGAGUGCAGCCUGGUACCAGACAGCCCCACCAUGACCUACAGCAAGUGCUCGGGGCGCUCCCUUGGGCUUGAAAUUUGCAGUAACAGAUGUGAACAUUCUAGUAGUAGUUUGGUGAUCGUGUAUACUACUGCAAACAGGA